UCAUUCUUUUAUGAAAGAAAGAAUUCUAAAAAUCAAAUGUCCCUUGAGUAGGCUUUAUGAUAUCCGACAAAAAGCACUCAUACAAGGGACAAAAUGCUCCAUAUUGAGGAAAAAGAAGAAAAAAAGGUAACAACGAAACUCAUCAUUAUAUGUAACUCUUAAUCUUAUCAAAUUCUGCAUGAUACAUCAUAUCACUUCCUGCAAAAACAACAUCAAUUGGAAGCCCAAAAAAACAACUCCUGUUAGCACUCCAAAUAAACUUAUCCCACCAUGCUAAUCAAACUCGGAUCAUUGAGAGUAAUAGACCAAUACCCAAAUCACUAAUAAAGGGUUCAUUAUGAAAUACAGGGUUUGCAUAAGACUUUGUUGGGAUGGAUGAUCAUCAGUUCCCUGAUAUUUCUCAACAAUUGCUGUUAACCUCCUCCCGACUUUCUAUAAAAGGAGGGUUCUACUGUGUCAAAUGUGCCUGAAAGUAACAAUGUAGCCAAUCUAUGACACCAAUUUAUUUAGACGAAACUGUAAAAGUACACACAAAUAAAACUCAGGCAUUGCCCAAAUAUCCCAAAAAAUUUUAACAAAUCACAAACACAUAACCAAAAAUAUUAAUUUCUGUACAAAUUACCAACAAAUCAAAGAACAUUUGUCACUAACAACGAGUUCAAACAGAUUGUAAACAGAUAGCUGCCAAUGAAGACAAAACCAAAUAUCAGAAAUAAAACUCAGACACUGCCCAAAUAUCUCAAAAAAAGUUAACAAAUCACAAACACAUAACUUGAAAUUUUUAAUUUUUUUACAAAUUACAGACAAAUCAAAGAACAUUUGUCACCAACCAUCAUGAACCCUUUCCUUGCGUCAAGCCCGAUCCAUUCCUGAAAAAUCCUAAAGCAUGCCCAAAAAAUUCCUAUAGAAAAUCCUAUCGUCCUCACCCAUCGUCGAGAAACCCUAACAGAAAAAUUCUACCGUCUUCGUCUAUCAUCUUUAUUUUAAUAUGGAAUAAGAUCGUCGUACAAAACCCUAAAAACCGCCUUCACCCAUCAUCCUCAAACACAAAAAAACCUAAUGCCUGUACUCUUCAUUCAACACCCAUCAAAAAGGAAAACCCCAAUACCCCACUCCAUCAUCUUUCAUCCUCCAAAAUCGGAACCCAUUACCCUAAACUCUGAAUUUAUACUCUGUUCUACGCGGAACGGACGCGUAUAGCCCGCAUGCAAAACAUGAAUAAAACCUCACUCUUUAGUUUUUAUAGUCGAUCGUUGGGCUUUACAAUUUCAGCCCAAUCGGAGCCCCAAGCCCCCGUAGUAGUGAGCNNNNNNNNNNNNNNNNNNNNNNNNNNNNNNNNNNNNNNNNNNNNNNNNNNNNNNNNNNNNNNNNNNNNNNNNNNNNNNNNNNNNNNNNNNNNNNNNNNNNAACCACUCCUCAUACCUAUUUCUUUUCGUCCCUUCUCUCCUUUUAUAGCUUCCCAUUCCAGGACCCAGCUUAAUUCCGACGCAGGAACCCUCAUUGCAAUCGACAUGUAUCAUGUGUGUAGAAUUCCCAAACAGCAGCCGCCGCAUAAUCCCCAGAUUUAACCCAUGCUGCUCGUGAUCAGAAUGAUAUUUGUGAGUCCUGGAAUCCCAUGCCUGAGCAGAAGCAUUGGAUUUUGAAGCAAAUUAAAGCUUCAAGAACAAGCAAUCAAGAUAUUCAGAGCAACCUCCAUUACAGAAGUGGCUUCUUUUGUCAAGAGUUAUGCAUGUUACCUCAUAGGCAUUAGGUACGACGCAUGUCUCCCAAACAGUUGGUAUGAUCAUAAGACACAAGUCACACUUUCCAUUGGUCAAAAUUCUAUUAUAUCCACCCAAGAAUCAAUUGCAAAAUGCGAUGUUCAAUAGUUUAAUUAUGCCAUGUUUGGUUGCAGCGAUAUAUAUGUGAAAACAGUUUUUUUUUUCUAUUUUUUCUUUCUACGUUUUUUUAGAAAAUUCUUAUUAAAAAUAAAUUUAAAACUUCAAGAAUAGGAUGCUUCUUUUUUAUAAAAAAAACUAUUUUCAAAAGUCAAAACUAAAUGAAAUCAUAAAAAAUACGUAAAAACAUCAAAUUACUCUUUGGUAACUAUUUUUUUAAAACAACUCUAAAAAAUAGUUUAAUUUGAGAAUAAUUUUUUUAAAUUGAUAUUUGAUUUUUGUAGAAUAAAAUUCUAUUUGAAAACUUAAAAUAUUUUUAAUUUGUUUUUAAUAUUUUUAAAUAUAUUUUAAAAAUAAAAUUUAUAUAUAAUGUUUUAUUUUUAAUUAUUCUACAUGAUCGUAUAAUUAUUUCUUAAAACAACACAACAAAUGAAAACAACUAAAAGAUGUUUAUUAAAAAUACUAUAUUUUUUUAUUCUUAAGAAUAGAAAAUAGAAAACAUAAAACAAUUUUUAGUUAUCAAACUGUUUUUUACGUUUUUUGUUCUAGAGAAUAUAAAAAUAUUCUAAAAAAUAGUUUUCAAACAAGUUCUAAAAACCUCAUUUAAAAGACGAGGCUGAUUUUAUGACAAUAAUUUAUUUUAAUAUCAUCCUAAGUGUUUUUCAAAGUCAAAUAGAAAGAUUAAUUAAUUAUAAAAGACAAUGUUGCAACAAAUUUAAAAAAAAAAUUACUUUUUUUUUGCUUUUAUAAAUAAAAAUAUAUUCACUUGUAUAUUUACUUUAAUUAAUUUAUAUACUUAUUUAUAGGAAAAUACAAAAUAAGAAACUAAAAUGAUAAAUAAUCCUAUUGAUAGGAAAACAAAGAACAAUGUAACAUGGACAGAUCUUUAAACUUAAGUUUGGUCUAUAUUAAAUAAUCGAAAAUAAUUUUGAUAAUUAAUUAAUUGAUUAAUAAAUACAAUGUCAAAUAAAUAACAAAAUUAAUUUUUUUAGAUUAUCACAUUUUGACUUGAUGGGAAAUCAAUGCAAAAAUAAAUGGCUUGGAUAACAACAAAUGAGUUAACACAAGAUGGCUAGCAAAGGAGUGAAUCGAUCGAGAUGACUACUAGGGUUAGUGGUUGUGGUAGAUCUACUCUUAUAUUUUUAUAUACAAAUCAUUUCAUACUUAAAAUGUUUUAAUAAAUAAAUAAAAGAGAAAAUAAAUAAAUUAAGUAAAUACUUAAAAUAAUAAGUGGAUGCAAAUAAAUCAAUUUUGAUAUAUAUAUAACAAAAUUAUUGUAUUUACACGUCAAAAUUAAUCUAUUAUAAAUAAGAUUAUCUUCUUGUUAAUAAAAUAAUAAAUUAUAAAAUAUAACGAUUUUUCCUAUUAAAAUAAAUUUUGUAUGUAAAAAGUGAAAAUUCAUAAAUUAUACUCUUUUCUCACUUUUUUUUUAUUUUAUGCCCAAGGCAUUUAUCAAAUUACCAAAUCAAUUUAUUUACUUUAAGAAAUUAUUUUCUUUUUCAUUUAUCUUAAAACAAUAUAAAUUUGCAUAAUUUGAAAUACAAUUAGAUUUGAACAUACUUAAAUUGCCUACUAAAAUAAUUGCAAAAAUUAUCUCUUUAUUCACUUAUACAUAGAAAUGCAUAUAAAUUAAUCCAUCUUUUUAUAUGGGAGUGAUUUUGAAGAAGAAAUUUAGUUUGUUAGUGAUUUUAAGAAGUGUUUCAAACCUUUUUAACAUUUAAAAUUUUGAAUCAUUCAAAUGUUAGAAAAGCUAAAAACAUUUUCUAAAAUCACUAUCAAAAGCACUCUUAUAGCAUAUUUUAAUAUUUCUAAUAUUUUAAAAUUUUUAUCAUUCAAAUAUUAGAAAUGCUAAAAAUACUUUCUAAAAUCACUUCCAAACACACUCUUUAAGCAUUUCUAAUAUUUGAAAAAUAAAAUAUUUUAAAUAUUAAAAAGACUAAAAACAUUUCUCAGAAUCACUAUCAAACUAACUCUUAGAGUUCAUUUGAUAGUAAUUUAAGGAAGCGUUUUUAAUAUUUCUAAUACUUGAAAUUUUUUAACAUUCAAGUAUUAGAAAUACUAAAAAAAACUUUCUAGAAUCAUUCUCAAAUGUACUCUUAGAAUCCAUUUUAUAGUAAUUUUAAAAAACGCUUCUAGCAUUUUUUUUUUCAGUAUUAAAAAUAUUAAAAACACUUUUUAGAAUCAUUGUCAAAUAUACUCUUAACCUAUGAGGUUAUUUUUCCACCCGAACCAAUGAAAGCAACAAAGCUUUUAAUAGCCGGGUCAGUUCGAAAAUUCUGAAGGGUGAUUUUAUAGGAAACCGCUAGCCCACGAGAAAUGAAUUAGUUUCGAUAUGUGUUUCCUUGGCAAUAUUAUAAUUAAUUCAAAUAAAAAUGCAGUCGCAUUUUAAGACUGCCCACAACCUCAUUGAACCCAACCUCAUAAUAUAACUCAUUAUUGUAAGAACCACAACACCUCGGCAAAAAAUUAUUCACACAUUUUUUUCUCUUGUUGCACAAAGGAUACAACAGAGAUUGCCAAGGGAUGACAAAUUGUUGAGUGCGAGACAAAUCCACCAUCAAAGACAAAAUACUUCCAAAAAAGAUGUUUGUAAUAGAACACAAAUUUCCAAAUACAAUUUGAGAUUUUAAUUCUAAAACUAGAAGGUGAGAGAAAAAGCAAAACCAUAGGGCAGAAUAGUUUUCGAUUCUCCAGAAUUUAAAAAAUAAGAAAAUACAUUUAACAACCAAAAAGCCAUUUUCUAUUUUCUGUUUGAUGUUUUCAAAGAACAUCCUUUAAUUGUUUUCACUUGUUUUUUUAGGGUUGUUUUAAAAAAUAAUUAUACAAACAGGUAAUGAAUAAAGUUAACGCACUAGAUAUAAAAAUAUUUUUAAAACAUAUUUAAAAACAUUAAAAGCAUGUUAAAAACAUUUUUAGUUUCCAAGCAGACUUUUGUUCUACAAAACAUCAAAAAACAAUUUUCAAAAACCAUUUUUUCGAACUGUUUUCGAAAUCAGUUACAAAAAAAAGGCAUACUUUCGUUUGCACCUUAACAAGCAUACAAUUGUUAAAAUACUAAUAAAUAAAUUCUACAACUCAAACUGCCUAAACUACAAUGGCACAUGAGAAAAGUUCUUAACCAUAUCAAUGAUUCAAUAUAGACCACUUUCUAUGAUUUCUAAGCCACAAACUGCCUCAUGAACAAGCUUUUUAUUUAUUUAUUUUUAUUAGAACCUGGGUACAAAGGGAAGUGCAAGAAAACAUGAAAUCCUUAGUCAUGCCCAUAUAGCUGUAAAAGAGUAGAAAUAUACAGCCUCCCUAGAUAACAAUGAAAUCAAGCCAAGCUUUGUGAAACAAGGAAAAAUAAAUAAGAGAAAACCGAAAUUUUCAAACAACAAAAAUACAUUGUCCUCCCAAGAUAAGAAUGAAAUCAAGCAAAGUUAUAUAAAAAGAGGGAAAAUGAAUAAGAGAAAGAAAAUUUCAAAAGACAAAAACUCCCAUAACAAUUUACCCAACCCUGUCAUUUGGAUUAAGUUGAGAUUGACGGGGCUCAAACCCGCAACUUCCGCAUGGCAAGGGCAUUGCUCAGACCAAUUAAACUACAAUCCCAAGAAGCAAGGUCAUAAUGGUCAAUAUAAGCAACCAAACAAGCCGUUAAGGCAACAAAUACUUAAGUUCAAUUACAAUAUAUUAAAUGACAUACAAUUAUUUUGUGGGAGCAAUACUUAAAAAUCAAACACCUUCAAAUCAUAGUUUGUUGGACAUAUAUUUCAAAAAUCAUACAUCUUUCAAAUAGACCUUGUAAAGAAAGUGUGUUCAUAUCCAUGUGCCGGGAGAAAAUAAUUCAUAUUAAGGCAAUUUAUAUUAUAUGCAUCAAUUUAUAUGAAAAAUCAAUUUAUAUUAUAUGCAUCAACCCUACAUCCCACAUCAUAUUAUGUCCUGAUGAAACCUAAACAAUUAUCAGCCCAAAACACAUAAUGACUCCAAAAUCAUGGAAAUACCACCAUCACAUCAACCCCACAUCCCACAUCAUAUUAUUUCCUGCAGAAACCAAAAUAAUCAUCAGCCCAAAACACAUAAUGAAUCCAAAAUCGUGAAAAUACCACCAUCACUCAGCAUGGAACAAAUAGUCCCCAUUCAAAACCUACAAAUACAUAGGUAAAUCUCAAUGCUACAGCCCACACCAUAAUGACAGCGAUUACAAAUUGAAGGGAUUUCUAUAGUGCAUUCGACUUAUACAAUUUAAUAAGAAAUUUAACCAUGCCUACCAAGAAAUCCCCAAAUAGAAACAAAACAAUAGAAAGUAGAAUUAUCACACAAGGAAGCCCAUCAGGCAUCUGCAGAAUUAACGCAAAUCCAACGCUGCUAUUCUUUCUCCUACUCAUGGAUAUAACUCAAAUACAACAUAAAAAUCAGAUGGCUUGAAAAAGUUUACCAAUCCAUCAAAUCCUUUCUGAUAUACUUUGAAAAUAUCAGAUACAACAUGAAAAUCAGAUGGCUUGAAACAGGUUUACCAAUCUAUCAAAUCCUUUCUGAAGUACUUUGAAAAUAUGUACCAGUUUCUCAAAAUCAAAGACUAAAAAAAUUACAUGAAAACAUGCUUGGUAAACAGAAAGAAUGAAGACCAAAGAAGAAGCAAAAAUUUAACCUGGCCUGCAUACCAUUACAGGAACCCAGAUGAACCAAGUCUGAACAGAAGAAUUAACCAUGAAAGAUGGAUUCUGUUAGAAAUAGUCUAAAAUCAUAUGGUCUACCAACAUUUUCUAGAAUGACAAAAAAGUGCACACAGUUUCAGCCAAAUAUGAGGAAAAGAAAAGACUGAUUGAUGCAAGGUCAACACUACAGUCUUUAUGUAUGCCACUUAUCUGGGUUAUGUAUGGAUCUCACUUCAGCAGGUGCAGGUCUGAUAUAAAUGCAGCUGCUAAAGCAUGGUUCAAAAUCGCAGUAUCAGUCAUUGACUGAGAGGGUUCUAAGGCACAUGGCGUCUCGGUUCCGUAUCGGGCUAUACGCAGAACAAGAUACUUAAAAGUUCAAAAAAUUAUAAAAAUUAUUUUUAAUAUAAUUAAAUGAAUUAACAAAACUAAUAAACUUAAUAAUAAAUCAUUAACAUAAUAAUAAAUGAAAUAAUUUCUUAAAUUAUUAAUAAUAAAUUAACAUAUAAAAUAAUACACCUUAUAUAAUACCAUUACCAUGUAAAAUAAUAUGUUACCUAAAUUAAAGUCAUUCAUACCAUAUUUAAUAUAUAAAAUACUAAUUUUCAAAUUUCUAAUUCCAAAUACCGUUGGCAUAUAAGGUAAAAUGAUGCAAAUACAUGAACAUUUGAAAUAAUAAAUCAUUUUUAUAUAAAACAAUGCAUUAAGCCCUUUUCUUAAAUUCUCAAUCCAAAACAUCCCUUAUUCACACCACGGGAUACCCGGUUUGCAGAAGCAAAAGCCUCUCUAUAGUACACAGCCAAACAACACUACGGAGAUCGAGCAAGGAAAGGCAACACCAACAUGCAACGAUCAUCAUCAAUGAAAGAAUGUGAUGUGGUCGGUCACCACGACUACAUCACUGACACAAAGCUUUCUUUCUUCUUCUUCUUAUCCUUCACGGCUAUGGAUCUUGAAAAAAAAAAUUAUUUUUAAGAGAAUCUCUCAUAUUUAUUAAAGAUUUCUCAGUUUUGGUUGCCCUUUGUUGUGAUUUGAAAGGGAAAAAAAUUUGGUUUAAUCUGAGAAUAUUUAGAUCUUAAACGAUUGAACUCAUAAUUUCCACCAAGUUCACACUGAAUCUCAACCGAGGCGACCAAGUUUAACCGAUUCUUAGUUGGGUCUGUGUUGAAGAUGGUACCGGGUAUCGGACUCGACGCAGAAAGGUUCCAGACAAAUACGACUCGGCCAAGUCAUAUUAGACUCCACCGAUAUUUUGAACCAUGUGCUAAAGUGACAUACAUCAUCUGCCAAAGUCAAACCUGCACCUGCUAAAGUGACAUACAUCAACACCGUCCCAUUUCUGAUCCUAAUUUGCUUAGGUUCCUUCACUUAUUUGUGAAAGAACCCUACCCACAUAGUAAAUUUCCUGAAAAGUUCCACACACAGAGAGCUUCCAUGUUUGAAAGAUGAGAUUCUAAAAUCUAAAAAAAAAUAUAUAUAUAUAUAUAUAUAUAUAUAUAUAUAUAUUAAAAUCACAUCAAAAGCUAUCAACAACCUUAUUGAACCAAACCUCAUAAUAAUAUAACUAAUACUCAUAAUAAAAAAAUAAUUAUCUACAAAGAAAUAUAGACAUAUCCUCCUAUGGUAUUGUACAACAUCUCAGGUAUACAAGAAAGAUUGCUAAGGGAUGAAAAAUUGUUGAUCUUACAUUUAUUUAGACAGUAUGGUAACAAAGAAAUUGAUGAGGUUGAAUCUCUAAGAUAGAUUUGUUGCAAUUUAAGUAAGACUAGUAUUACUUUGAAUUAAAUUAGGAUUAGUAUUUGUUGGAGUUAAAUUAGGAGUAGUCAAUUAUUAGAAUCAUAAUUAGGUUAUAGGAGAAUUAGAAUUAGAGUCAUAAUAGGUUGUUAAAAUCCUAAUACACUCUGGAUUUCUUAGAUGUCUAUAAAUAAGGCUAAUUAAUGUAAACCAAAGUAUUAAUUGAUUGAUGAUUAAUAAUACUAUGUUUUCUUGUGGAGUCUCCUAGAAGUCCUGAGUGCAACUCUAAAGUUCUACCCCUUCUUUUUAUCUUAGUUCUCUAUUUUUUUUUCCUUUUAUGUUGUUGUCAUAAACUUUAUCUCUUAUUCCUCUCCUUAAACCCCUAACCCACCUAUUUGAUGGUAGAUAGUCAUCCUAGGGUUGCCCUACAUAAAAAAUACAAGGAUCUCUAAGGACAAAUGGAUGACUUUUCAAACGAUAUGGGACCUAGUCUACUUCUAUUCAUCUUUUUGGGCCUCUACAAGGGCAUUCCUCUCAACAUUAUUCAACUUGAUUGGCUUUCAAUAUGUAAAUCAAAAGGUUUCAAUAGCAAUCAUUUUCAUGUCUUUUAGAUUGUCUUGAUAAAAAGAAAAAAAAAAUGCAUAAUUGUUGAAAUGGAGACAAAUGGAUUGGUAUACUACCAAACUUGCAAACUCAAAACGGAUGGCCAUAGAACUUGAGAAUCUGAACCAAGAAGUAAAGCCAUAAUUCAUAAGCUUCCAAACUUAUUUAUACUCAAGCAAAAAAAUUUCAAUGCUUUGCUUCGAAUAUUUAAUUAAUCAAUAACUAGAGCGCUUCAACACACCAUGAAAGCAAGUAAGAAGCAUAGAUGAAUUAUAAAAAUCCAAUUGUACUUCUUUGGGCAUCAGUGGGCCCUUGAGGUCUGGCUCAAGUGCUAAAGGGUUGGAGAGGGUUUAUGGGAGGUUUUAAGUUCAAGUCUCAAUGGAGACAAAAAUUUACCUACCAACAAAAAGUUCUCUAGGCAUUAGUGGGAAAAGGAAGCAAUAAUAACAUAACAAAUUAAUCAAUGAAUUCUUGAACAAAACACAAGCUGCCUAAAAUACAAAUGGCACAUGACCAAGUCAAUAUACAAUUCCCAGGCAAGAUACCACUUUUUACAUAUAAACCACAGUGCAAACCCCACAUACAUUUUUACUUAUUUAUUUACCAAAACCUCAUAGACAAAAUCUUCACAAACCAAACCUUGGUAAUCCAAAGGAAAGUGAGAGAAAAAAAUAAGCUCUUCAUAGACAAGUAUUUAUUUAUUUAUUUCCAAAAACCUCAUAGUUAAGGUUUUCACAUAUCAAACCUUGGUAACCCAAAGAAUAGUAAAAGCUCUUCAAUUUGUGAGCUAGACAACUAUAUUAGCCAUGUUUUUAUUUACAAAUUAACAAAAUAAAUUAAAAAAACUGACCUGUUUUAAUGUCCUCACUCUGACCCUUUCUUAUGAAACCAGAAAUCAAAAAAAUUGAGUUGAGGCAAAUUGAUGUCCAUGUCAUAAAGAAGAGUGCUCAGAGACAUAAAUGUAACAGCCCCAAAAACAUGAUAUUCAAUAGAAAAUAAAUAAAUAAGAAUUUGUUACCACAUAACUCCACUUAUUCUUAUUUCAAAUCAGUAUCUAUAAUGUCAUUUUGUUCAAAUACAAGCUAUUGUAAAUGAACACUUCUCAAAUCAAUCUUUCAAAUAAAAAAAAUUAAGUUCAAAUACAAAAAAACUUAAAUUCCAUUUUGUUCUUCAAAGGGAAGAGAUGAUUUAAAAAAUCAGUAUCUAUAAUGUCAUUCUUCUAUGAAAGAAAUAAUUCUAAGAAUCAAAUGUCCCUUGAUUAGGCUUUACGAUAUCCGAAAAAAAGCAUUCAAAUACAGUUCCAUUUUGUUCUUUAAAGGGAAGAGAUGAUUUAAAAAAUCAGUAUCUCUAUGCCAUUCUUUUAUGAAUGAAAGAAUUCUAAAAAUCAAAUGUCCCUUGAUUAGGCUUUAUGAUAUCUGACAAAAAGCACUGAUACAAGGGACAAAAUGCUCCAUAUUGAGGAAAAAGAAGAAAAAAAAGGUAACAACGAAACUCAUCAUUAUAUGUAACUCUUAAUCUUAUCAAAUUCUGCAUAAUACGUCAUAUCACUUCUUGCAAAAACAACAUCAAUUGGAAGCCCAAAAAAACAACUCCUGUUAG
rnacentral:lncRNA from 1 species